CGUACACCGCAGCAACACCUUCUUUUACCGAAAAACACUGUAAAUUAUACAAUUUACCGAGCAACGCGUCAGCCCACGCCCCCCUCCCCCCCGAAGCUGCAGGAAAUAUUACCCAGGGCUGACUGCCGAUGACAAGAUAUGGUUACUCGAUAAUGUUAUGAAUCACAGCUGGUCUCUGGAAUAUAGGCGGAGCUGCCGGGCGGAGGAGUGACUUGUAUAUAGUGAUAUCGGACGACAUGCUUGCGGCCUUUGGAUUUUAUCUGCGCAUAUUUGCAAGGCAAAGUCAAGCCGGAGGCGCAAUUACACCUGACAAGAAAUAGGGAAGAGUCGAAGUGCCGUGACGUAAGGUAAUCGCGGUUGCGGCCGACCUUCCCAGCUGAUUAAAAUUACGCUUGAAAUGGCGACGGGUCAAUAAUCGGAAAGCAAAGAAUUGGAAACGGAACGACGCCAAGGCCGAUGCCAACUUUUGUCGUCUACGAAGUGAAAUAAGCGCCAAGUGUUGAUCUUAUUCAAGAGAUCAGUCGAAACUGCGAUGAUGGGUUGUUCGAUCGCCGUGCGAUAAGAGCGUCGAAGUGCUUCCGGCUUUGAUUAAGGGAAGAAGCGCAAGCAAAACGAAAGGCAAGUUAACGGGACGACGAGAUGCGGAUCUACAGGGCGAAACUUGGGCGUUGAACGAAUAGAGCGGCCAGGAAGCGGCUGGUGCCCAGUGGGCUGUGCGAAGCCGAUUUGACACAAAAUGGCUUCUGGGGAUAAUGUGGAUGUGAUUGAGGUUGUUGAAUCGAGUUUCACAUCCCCGGAUUUGGAGAUGGUGGACCGGGUAGGACGCGGCUUCGCCAUGGAAGAUGAAGAUAAGUCCACCGGGGAGAAAGUUACAGCCUUGGAAGUACCCACAACGCAUCAUGGCUCUGGUGGUCCCAAAACUUCGUCGGGUAUAUCCCGAAACAAAUCGGAAAGGGAAAGAAAAAUUGGCCAUCGGAGAGUCGGAGUGGGAGGUGAAAUCACAUAUAAAAAGAUUCAAACGACACAAAUCAUGGGAUCCAUUCAACUAGGGAUCCAGCACGCUGUUGGGGGUCUUGCUAGUAAACCAGAGCGAGAUCUUCUUAUGCAGGAUUUUAUGACAGUGGAAACGACCAACUUUCCCAGUGAAGGGUCCAAUCACACACCUGCCCAUCAUUUCUCCGAAUUCAAGUUCAAAAACUAUGCUCCUAUUGCCUUUCGGUACUUCAGAGACCUAUUUGGCAUUCAACCUGACGACUUUUUGAUGUCAAUGUGCAGCUCCCCACUCAGGGAGUUGUCUAAUCCUGGCGCAAGUGGUAGCAUAUUUUAUCUGACAGAAGAUGAUGAGUUUAUCAUCAAAACUGUUCAACACAAAGAAGGGGAAUUUUUGCAGAAGCUGCUACCUGGAUAUUACAUGAAUUUGAACCAGAAUCCUCGAACGUUACUUCCAAAAUUUUUUGGGCUGUAUUGUUACCAGUGCAAUAGUAAAAAUGUCAGAUUAAUCGCAAUGAAUAAUCUGCUUCCGUCGGCCGUCAAGCUACAUCAGAAAUACGAUUUGAAAGGUUCCACUUAUAAAAGAAAAGCUUCCAAAUCCGAAAGAUCCAAGUCAUCUCCUACGUAUAAAGAUUUGGAUUUUAUGGAGCAUCACGCCGAAGGUAUUUUCUUGGAAGCUGAUACUUAUGGGGCACUUGUUAAAACGAUACAGCGAGACUGUAGAGUAUUGGAGAGCUUUAAAAUUAUGGACUAUUCUCUCCUAGUUGGAAUUCAUAACUUGGAUCAAGCGGCUAGGGAAAAAGCAGAACAGAGGUUAUCGGCAAGUGCGGAUGAAGAAACCGGCGGAGCAAGUUCUGAGGCCGGUGCCCUUAUUCAAGCGGAAAAGGAGAGGGAAAGAGAAGACAGGAUUGGCGCGGCUGCGUUGAAUCGAUCUCGAAGUAUUAACAGGCAAAGAUUAGUAGCGCACAGUACUGCGAUGGAAAGUAUUCAGGCCGAGAGCGAACCUAUCGAUGAAGAAGAUGAUGUACCCAGUCCGGGUGGUAUACCAGCUAGAAAUGCAAGAGGCGAACGUCUCCUACUUUUUCUCGGCAUCAUCGACAUACUUCAGAGUUACAGACUGAAGAAAAAGCUUGAGCACACAUGGAAGUCCAUGAUUCAUGACGGGGAUACAGUUUCCGUGCAUAGACCUGGUUUCUACGCUCAGCGCUUUCAAGAUUUCAUGGCAAAAACUGUUUUCAAGAAGAUUCCGUCACUGGACCUGCCUGAGAUUAAGGGAAACCAUCGCAAGUUCCGUAACCUGGUCACCAGCUACAUAGCUCUGAAACAUUCCCCUUCGAAACGGAAAAGUAUUACGAGGCCACUGAGACCGUUGGAAGGAGACUUUGAUUCCACAGCAGCGUCUGGAAGUUCAGCAGUGCAUGCUUCAACGAACUCUAAGCCUGCAAGCCCCACCGAGUUGCCUGCCUCAUCCAUAGUCAUAUCUGCUGCACCCACAAUAUCCACAACGUCCAUUCCAAACGCGACAUCAACUCCGAUAAACUUGCCCACUGUUUGCAAACCCGUUACGCCUCCGUCUCUGCUCUUUGGCACGGCAGAUGAAACCAACCACCAUGAUAUAACAAGCUUUGGUACGUCAAGUUACCCAGCUGUUUUGAAGGGCAGACGCGGAGCCAGCCCUCCUAAUCCGAAUCUCGUUCCUUCCGGCAAAAUUCCUCCACCGGUACCUCCUAGGGGAUCUGUUUCGGGGAGAAGUCGAGUCGACGAUCAUCGGAGAACGUCGGCGAAUAACGCGACCAUCUCCAGUCGAGGUGGUACCCUUCCCUCUACAUGCUCCACCCCACCUCCGCCAUUUGACGACGCUGUUACAUCGAACGACGCAACAUUAGCAUCGGGGGGUCACCAUUCCCAUCACGGAACAACGACGAUCCUCACUAGCAGCUUGAGUUCGUCGCAUACGAAGCAAAACAAAAUAGUGCAUCACGUUACUUUAACCAAAACCUAUCACGAUGCUGUUAGUAUAUCUGACGUGCAUUUAGAAAGCAGUGGUAGUGGCUGCGGCAGCGUCGGGCGUGAAACAAAGUCGUCCUUAAGCGUAGAAAGCGGGGGUAGCAGUCGUGGCGGUGGUGCGUUGACGUGGACACCACCUACCGGCAGUGUCGAAGGUUCUACUCCUACAUGGACUGAGGGAACGCCAUCCUUUACAGAGAGUUCGAGUAGCGGAGACAUGGGCUGUCCCACAACACCGAUUAGAAGUGGUAUAAGAGGGGAAGAGGAUAAUCGAAUUGUCGCUACAGUCGAGGAGGCAUUAGCUAGUUUGACAUCCGAAAUGACGACGUUCGAAACUACAUGCCUGGAAUGUGAAUACUGUUAAUAAUUGCCGGCCGGAUAAUGUGUCCCAAGUGUCUGGAUGUCGUCGCCAAUAGAUUUAUAGAAAGGCGAUUCUGCAGCGGGAGUGAAAUGUUGCAUAGCUUUGGAACCACCAUUGGACAAAUUAUGCUGCAACAAUGAAUCUCCACAAAGGACCGUCACUGGUCUAUGCAAGUUACACGUCCUGCAAAUCGACAUGUUUCCUUUUUUUCCCUUUACCGUUCAAUCCAUGAAGUCAAUUAUUAAUUAUCAAAGGACUUUAUCAAACGACAAAUUGUCCUAAGAACGGCAGCAAAUUGCAGUUCUUUGCCGUACGUACAAUCACCUACUCUCGUGUUAUGUCGGCAUUUGCGUUUUUAUUGGUAAUUAUACACUACUACUACAUCGAAUUUUUGGUACUCUUUGGUUUUUGGUGAAAAUGAUCUCAUCAUUGCGUUAAGAGGUAAUCUGUAACGUUAUAAACAUCGAUUGGUAUUCAAUCAUGAAGCUUUGCCAUUCUUUCUAAUUACUGGUCCCUGAUCGGCAUGCCGGGCACGUUGAAUCCAGUUACUUCGAACUACAGCACAAUUACUGUUAUCGUAAUUCUACUGGAAGCACCAUCCAAGAAUGUAUAAUAUAUUGUAAUAUCUGAGGCUCACUAAACGAUCAUAUACAAUUUUCAUUUAUAGCUAGUUUUAAUACAAGACCACGACCUUUGCAGUAGAAGUUAUUAUAGUUGCUGAAACUUUAUGAUGCAUAGAUUAUUUGACAAAUUUUAUGGCUUAAAGCAUGAGAUUCGUAUUCUGAACCUGGGAACGCAAGCUAAAAUAAAAUGCCAAUAAAAUUAAUUAUGUAAAAAAAAUUCUCACGCCUCGUGUUGAAAACGAAAUUUAAAUUUCUUCAUCAAUUGGAAGGAUUUAUUCAAUUUUAUAUGCGAGUGCACCAAGCAAUAUUAAUCCUGCCACAGAAGAAAUUCCUUAUGUAAGUUUGCACUAGCAGUGACUGUCUCAGGACAAAAUCAUCGUCGGUAGGCGUACACACAUAAGAGGAGUCAAUAAAAUUCUGAAAGUGAGGCGUACUUGCAUACCUCUUUCUGACAACAACAAGUUACAAACUUUCAUUAUCGCUAGUGUUAGAUUAGCACGAGCCUGGCUGAAAUAAUGUUUACUCCUAAUCCUGAGUCUUAUACCUGAAUAUUGAUUUUUGGACAAUUGCUAGACUCAUAAACUAGUUACAAAUAAUACAUCAUCGCGUGUGUCCAGCGAUCUUGAAUACUUCAAAAUAUCCCGAAAUUUCACAAGAGUACUUAUAUAAGUAAAUUUUUUAUUUCUGGACGGAUCGGAAAUACACGCAUACGCACACACACCCCGAAAUAGCGCUGCAUAGUUUACAGAUUACUCCUAUAACGCAUCACAAAAACUCGACUGUCCAAUAUUACUGUAGUAUACAUACCUAUAGGUAUAGUACUGCCGAGCGCGUUUUGAUGUAAAUUCAACACUGUUUGGGUAGUAUUUCCGAAAACUUCUUGUAUUUUCACAUGAGUUUUCUCAUACCCUAAUAUUUACUCUCGGUUGUUUGUUUGAAAAUAAUUUUUCGUUUCUCUCCAAUUUUCAAUCUAAGAAUAAAUAUCUCACAUUUAAAUACAUCAUGGGUGAUUGCAGUAGAACGUAUAAUUUAGAGUGGACAAAUGCUGUUUGUUGAAGAAAGCAGAAAGUUGUAUUUAUUUCCUAUGAUGAUUGGAAAACUAAGUUUCUGAGUCUGGCAAAAUGGGUACUUUGAUUUGAAAAAGUUGGAAUUCUCGAGAUAUUUUCAAGUACCUGACGGCUGGACACCAUUAUUGAUGAUUAAGCAGGAGAAUUCUCCAUGAAUAAAAUUGGAGUCAGCUGGCAUAUUUUCUUAUAUCGCUUUGCUGUAACUAAUAUGAUAUUGGUAAUAUUUGGAUUCGAUUGAAUUUAAGACCAGUUCGUUUACUCGCAUAUUUCAACAUUGGAUGUAUAUUGUAUAAUACUAAAUGAAAAAAUAUUUAAUAUGUUGAUGCGAAUCUGAGCUGACGUAUAGCUGUGGCAAGCUAGAGCUUGCAGAUGAUUGUCUGCAGCAACGAGUUUCCUCAUUUGUACUAAAUAUGUGUAUUCAAGAACGUGAUUACAUCAGUGGCUUUUCCAUUUCAUUGGGCAUAUCCUACCUUCUCCAGAGGUAAACACAAACUUCUGUCAAGGUAUAGUUGUGAGAUGGCGAUGUUGAAAAUUUUGUCCAUGUUAUUGAAAGUGUCUAUGUGUUACAGAAGAUGAUAAUAAUGUGUACCGCAUAUUAGACAGAGGGAAAACUGACGGUAGCAAAUAAUGAUAAAUGAAAUUUGUUAAGUCUGGUACCAUUUAAAUGUCACUUAUUGGCUUCACUUGACACCAGUUUGGGAUCCUGAGAGGUAGCUGUCGAUUAUUGAUGUAGUUUAUAAAAGGAUGUAAAUACUUAGCUGAUAUAACCGAAUCAAUACUCAAAUGUAACUUCAAGUCUCAACAUAAUCAUAAUAUGUACGUAUAUGUGUGUCUGUUAUGUACCACGUAUAACUCCUUAUACGUUAUGCGUUAUAAAGUCGUAUAUUUAAAAACUGUGUAACUAUAUAUUAACGGGAACUAAAAGAAAAAAAGAUAUCGUUUCCAGUCUAAAUGUUACAAAAGCCAAAAUGUCGUUCAACGAUUGUAAUUAAGGGUUAACGCUUGCACUCAAAAUAUCAACGAGUACUUUCUUAGAAAUCGUAACAUUUGUGAAUUCAAUUUUAGAUGCAAAAUAAUCAGUUUCACCAUUUGAAUUUGAAUAUAUUUAUACAGUAUUCGUUACUCUUUACUGUUAAAAAGUGACUACAUCAGUGUUCAGUGCAUUAUGAUCUAAAAGUAGUGAUCAAUGUACAACUACUUUCACAUUGUCUGUCUGUACAUGAUAAUUAUUGUAACUUCCAUAAGUUUAAUUUAAUGCUAAUUUUAUUUGAUCUGGUGUGAAAAAUUCAUUCUCACGUGCUUUUGAAAGGUCGUCUAGAAACUGCGGUUCCUCAGGUUUACCAGGUUUUCCACAAAUUAACAUGUUGCGGGGUAAUGGAGAAAUUGGACGACACCAUAGAUUUUUACUUUGUUCCUUCCCUUUUUCGUGCCGCUAGAAGCACUAGAAUUGACUUAAGUUCUAGUGUACAUGUAAGAUUCGUUGGUAUUUUGUAUAAAUAAUAUUGAUACGUACUAUAACCAUUGCUUAUAUCGGAUACUAUACAUAUACAGAAAAUAGCUUUGCUGCUUUUUAAGUAUGAUUGUUAUGUAAUUAAGAUAUUGUAUAAGUGUUCAUAUACUAGUUGACCCCAUCAAGUAUAACAUUACGAAUAUGCUCCGUUUCAGGCUCUAGCCUGCUUACUGUUCUUGGGGCUGCACAAUCAUCAAAGCUUAGCGCCAAACAUCACGAAAGUUUAUCGAUAAUAGCGAUUUUAUAAUCGCUAUCCAGAGCACCUAUGGGAACAUGAGUCACAUUGAAUUUUUUGCUUCCAAUUUCGAACCAUACCUGAUUAUAAGAAACUGUCGAGUUAUUAUCAAAAACUCUGGAAAUUGGGUGCAAACCGAAAUUGCAACCUUACGUUGUGUUUUUACACUAUUUUCACUAUCAUUUUAUGAAACCUUGUUCAACGCAUGUUCGGAAUGCCAUGCGAUUUGAGGCGUAACAAGCAUUUAAAAUUGAAUCAUGCAAUUUGUCGGCAUCUGAACUAAGGAAAUAACUGUACUCAAAAUAAAUUUACUGUUCAGGUA